rnacentral:rRNA from 1 species
AAAGCACCCCGGGAGGGGAGUGAAAAAGAACCUGAAACCCUGUGCCUACAAGCACCUAGAGCACGUCAAUGUGUGAUAGGGUACUUUUUGUAGAACGGUCCGGCGAGCGAUUGUAUGCAGCAAGGUUAAGGACUUAAGGUCUGGAGCCGAAGCGAAAGCGAGUUUGAAAAGGGCGUUAAGUUGCAUACAAUGGGCCCGAAACCGGGUGACCUACCCAUGGUCAGGUUGAAGUGGAAGUAAAAUUCCAUGGAGGACCGAACCGACCUCCGUUGAAAAGGCGGCGGAUGAACUGUGGGUAGCGGAGAAAUUCCAAUCGAACCCGGAGAUAGCUGGUUCUCCCCGAAAUAGUUUUAGGACUAGCCUCAAGUUAGAUACCUGGAGGUAAAGCACUGAAUAGCCUAGCGGCCGAGAGGUUAGCGAAGCUUAUCAAACUCAGAAUGCCAGAGUAUUGAUGCUUGGGAGUCAGACAGUGUCAGAUAAAUGUCAUUGUCAAAAGGGAAACAGCCCAGAUCUACAGCUAAGGUCCCAAAGUCAGGUUAAGUGGAAAACGAUGUGAAGAUACGUAGACAACCAGGAUGUUGGCUCAGAAGCAGCCACACAUUCAAAGAGUGCGUAAUAGCUCACUGGUCGAGCGUCUUUGCGCGGAGAAUUUAACGGGGCUAAACCUGACACCGAAGCUUAGGCAAUACAGCAAUGUAUUGGGUAGGGGAGCGUUGUAUACGCGGUGAAACAGUAGCGCAAGCGGCUGUGGAGUGUAUAGAAGUGAGAAUGCCGGAAUGAGUAGCGCGAAUGCAGUGAGAAUCUGCAUGGCCGAAAGCCUCAGGUUUUUGGAGGAAGGUUCGUCCGCUCCAAGUUAGUCGGGAGCUAAGGUGAGGCCGGAAGGCGUAGCCGAUGCACAGACGGUAGAGAUUCCGUCACCACCAAAAGAGUUAAGCACAGGGACACAUUUGAAGUCUCAGAGCCGGGUGUUGGUUCCGGUAGAGAUCGAGGGAAGUUAGUACCGAAGUCUGGGAUGGAAGAUGGCGAGAAAAGCUGUGUGUAUUUCUGAGGUGCCCGUACCGCAAACCGACACAGGUAGGUAGGAAGAAGAUUCUAAGGCCAACGGGAGAAGGGUUGUUAAGGAACUCGGCAAAUUGACCCCGUAACUUCGGGAGAAGGGGUGCUCCAGAGAUGGAGCCGCAGAGAAUCGGCCCAAGCAACUGUUUACCAAAAACACAGGUUUGUGCUAAAUCGAAAGAUGACGUAUACGAGCUGACGCCUGCCCGGUGCUGGAAGGUUAAAAGGAGAUGUGCAAGCAUUGAAUUGAAGCCCCAGUGAACGGCGGCCGUAACUAUAACGGUCCUAAGGUAGCGAAAUUCCUUGUCAGGUAAGUUCUGACCCGCACGAAUGGUGUAAUGAUUUGGGCACUGUCUCAACAGCCCGCCCGGCGAAAUUGUAGUACCGGUGAAGAUGCCGGUUACCCGCGACAAGACG